rnacentral:rRNA from 1 species
CCUACGGGAGGCAGCAGUGGGGAAUAUUGGGCGAUGGGGGAAACCCUGACCCAGCGACGCCGCGUGAGGGAAGAAGGUUUUCGGAUUGUAAACCUCUGUUCUUGGUGAAGAGUGGAAGACGGUAACCAAGGAGGAAGCCCCGGCUAACUACGUGCCAGCAGCCGCGGUAAU